rnacentral:lncRNA from 1 species
UUUUUCCUUGUACCUUCAUGUAGAACCUAAGAAAUAAAUCUCUAGAAGUCUCUCCAAACAUGAUAAGAGUUCUUAACCUGGAACUUUAGUACCAUGUAGGGGAGAUAAUUUUGUAAAUAGAUAUGGCUAAAAUGCAAAUAAUCCAUGCUUGAAUGAAAGAACUCUGGUGUUGCAUGGAUUGUCAUUAGGCUUUCUCGGUGCAGGUUAGGUGGAAGGCGGAGAAGAUCUCAUU